GUCUACAGCCAUACCACCCUGAACGCGCCCAAUCUCGUCUGAUCUCGGAAGCUAAGCAGGGUCGGGCCUGGUUAGUACUUGGAUGGGAGACAAAAGUCUUCUGGACAGUGCUGAGA
rnacentral:rRNA from 1 species